GAUGAACGCUGGCGGCGCGCCUAACACAUGCAAGUCGAACGAUUAAAGCACCUUCGGGUGUGUAUAAAGUGGCGAACGGCUGAGUAACACGUGGGCAACCUGCCCCUCUCAUUGGGAUAGCCACGGGAAACCGUGGAUAAUACCGAAUACUUCGGGACUUCCGCAUGGAAGACUCGAGAAAGCUCCGGCGGAGAGGGAUGGGCCCGCGGCCUGUUAGCUUGUUGGUGGGGUAAUGGCCUACCAAGGCAAUGAGGGGUAGCUGGGUUGAGAGACCGACCAGCCAGAUUGGGACUGAGACACGGCCCAGACUCCUACGGGAGGCAGCAGUGGGGAAUCUUGCACAAUGGGCGAAAGCCUGAUGCAGCGACGCCGCGUGCGGGAUGAAGGCCUUCGGGUUGUAAACCGCUUUCAGCAGGGACGAGGCGAAAGUGACGGUACCUGCAGAAGAAGCCCCGGCUAACUACGUG
rnacentral:rRNA from 1 species